UACGUAGGGUGCGAGCGUUAAUCGGAAUUACUGGGCGUAAAGUGUGCGCAGGCGGUUCGCUAAGACCGAUGUGAAAUCCCCGGGCUUAACCUGGGAACUGCAUUGGUGACUGGCGGGCUAGAGUAUGGCAGAGGGGGGUAGAAUUCCACGUGUAGCAGUGAAAUGCGUAGAGAUGUGGAGGAAUACCGAUGGCGAAGGCAGCCCCCUGGGCCAAUACUGACGCUCAUGCACGAAAGCGUGGGGAGCAAACAGG
rnacentral:rRNA from 1 species